GCGGCUUAAUUUGACUCAACACGGGGAAACUCACCAGGUCCAGACAUAGUAAGGAUUGACAGAUUGAAAGCUCUUUCUAGAUUCUAUGGGUGGUGGUGCAUGGCCGUUCUUAGUUCGUGGAGUGAUUUGUCUGGUUAAUUCCGAUAACGAACGAGACCUUAUUCUGCUAAAUAGACAGAUCAAUUUUUUAAUUGAUAUAUGAUCUUCGGAUCUCUGGCUUCUUAGAGAGACUAUCGGCUUCAAGCCGAAGGAAGUUUUAGGCAAUAACAGGUCUGUGAUGCCCUUUAGAUGUUCUGGGCCGCACGCGCGCUACACUGAUGAAGUCAGCGAGUUUUUUUUCCUUGGCCGGAAGGUCUGGGUAAACUUUUGAAACUUCAUCGUGCUGGGGAUAGAGCAUUGCAAUUAUUGCUCUUCAACGAGGAAUUCCUAGUAAGCGCAAGUCAUCAGCUUGCGUUGAUUACGUCCCUGCCCUUUGUACACACCGCCCGUCGCUACUACCGAUUGAAUGGUUAUAGUGAGCAUAUGGGAUCAGUGGAAACCGACUGGCAACAGUUGGUUUCUGCAGAGAACUAUGGCAAACUAGGCUAUUUAGAGGAAGUAAAAGUCGUAACAAGGUUUCCGUAGGUGAACCUGCGGAAGGAUCAUUAAAUAAUGAUGGUUUAGCUUUCUCCUAAAAAAAGAAACUAAGCUUUAUCUUUUUACUGUGAAACGUUUUUUAUUUUGACCCUGGGUGGUUGACGCAAGUCUUCUGCCCAAGAGUGUUGCCAUAUAGACAGUGUCGCCCUAUUUCGUUCAUAGAGCUGUCAUAAUGGAUGAUUUAUUCACUCUUCGAUUUAGGUCAAGGGAGCUCUCCUUUUGAGCUUCUAUCUAUGAGACGAAAUGUUUAGAACUAUAUGAAUUUUAUCUGAGUGACAUUAAUAAUAAAGUUAAAAACAACUUUCAACAAUGGAUCUCUAGGUUCUCGCAUCGAUGAAGAACGUAGCAAAUUGCGAUAACUAGUGUGAAUUGCAUUUUCAGUGAAUCAUCGAGUCUUUGAACGCAUCUUGCACUCUAGGGUAUUCCCUAGAGUACGCCUGUUUCAGUGACAGAAAGACCCCUCGCCCUAAAAUUUUUUUUUUUUUGGCGGAUUUGACUAGUUGGCUUUUGUGAAAGAAAGCUAAUUAAAGUCUAAUAAUUGAUGGCUUAUUUUAACUGUAAGCUCUAUACAGGAUUACCUUGUAUCUUUUUGAUUUCACUAGGAUAUAAGCCUAUAUGGAGUUGGUUUCAAUUCGGGCCUAAACCCAAUUUUAUAAAUCAUAAUUUGUUCUGAAAUCAGGUGGGAUUACCCGCUGAACUUAAGCAUAUCAAUAAGCGGAGGAAAAGAAAAUAACAAUGAUUUCCCUAGUAACGGCGAGUGAAGAGGAAAGAGCUCAAAGUUGGAAUCCGGCUGCCUUAGGUAGUUGGAAUUGUAAACUGGAGAGGUGUUUUCCAGGCGAGCCAAGCAAAUAAGUCCUUUGGAACAGGGCAUCAUAGAGGGUGAGAAUCCCGUCUUUGGCUUGAGCAUUGCCUUUUGCGAUACACUUUCAAAGAGUCAGGUUGUUUGGGAAUGCAGCCUAAAUUGGGUGGUAAAUCUCACCUAAAGCUAAAUAUUGGCGAGAGACCGAUAGCGAACAAGUACCGUGAGGGAAAGAUGAAAAGAACUUUGAAAAGAGAGUUAAACAGUAUGUGAAAUUGUUGAAAGGGAACCGUUUGGAGCCAGACCGGCUGUUCUAUAAUCAAUCUCUGCUUCGGUAGGGAUGCACUUGUAGGGCUUUAGCCUGCCAACAGCAAUUUUCUUUGGUGGAAAAAACUAGAAGGAAUGUGGCCCCUCGGGGUGUUAUAGCCUUUUAGAAAAUACACUGAAGGGGAUUGAGGACUGCAGCAAAUGCUUUUGGCGAAAUAACUGGGUGCUUGUGUUAAGGAAGUAUAGAAUUUCUGCUUCGGGUGGUGCUAUGCUCUAAGAUGCAACUCGCUUAGACUAUUUUCUAUUUGCUUAGGUUGUUGGCUUAAUGACUCUAAAUGACCCGUCUUGAAACACGGACCAAGGAGUCCAUCAUAGGUGCAAGUCUUUGGGUUAAAAACUCAUAGGCGUAAGGAAACUGAUGGAUACGAAGGCCUCACGGCUGGCAGUAUCGUCCGGCAAUGACGUUUUAUACAGACUUGACCGAGAUAAAGCACUUAUGCUGGGACCCGAAAGAUGGUGAACUAUGCCUGAAUAGGGUGAAGCCAGAGGAAACUCUGGUGGAGGCUCGUAGCGAUUCUGACGUGCAAAUCGAUCGUCAAAUUUGGGUAUAGGGGCGAAAGACUAAUCGAACCC
rnacentral:rRNA from 1 species